GUUAGCUUGAGAAAUAAAUGUUCAGCUGCCUGAUAAAAUAAGUAAACUGUGGUUAAAUGAAUGUAACUCCCAGCCCUGAGAACAAUGCAGCCACCAGAGGGUGCUGUGUACCUUCUCAGAAAUCUUCAGAGCCCUCACAAGUUCAAAUUCCCUGGACCGUGUCCAGCUGCUCACUGGACCCUUACGGGUGUUACAGCAGCUGCAUCCUCCCAGGGGGCAAAUGCACAGCACAGAGCCCAGGGCCUCCCUUGAUCUGCCUCUGACAGUGUAACUGCUCUGAGGGCUGAGGACCAGGUGGUGGAAGGGAUUCACAGCUCGUGUCUGUAGAAUGCACAGCAGAAAGAUUUCACAGGGAAGAAAACUCUUAAUUGCGAGGUGUUAGAGAGUUACAUACAGCAUAUCAGUAUCAAACAACUUAGAAAUAAGACUAUGGAUGUUCCAGCUGAGCAAGACUGUGGUGUCUGUGUGCCUUGUAACCAGCAGGGGCACUGUGAGGCGGUGUGUGUUUACAGUAAACUAAUCAUUUACUGAAAGGAAUCUUGCAAUCAUUUACUGAAAAGAUGCCAUCUGCUCACUGGUUAGGAAUCGGUGGCUGAAACUUCUCUAGCUUGGAAGAGUCCUUUAUGUAUACCUUCUCCUUGCUUGGCAGGCACUGUCUCCUGACAGGUUCCCAGGAUAUAAAUCAACCUCCAUCAUCCUAAGUGUGUGUGAGUUGAGCGUGAGCGCUAAGGCUGAAGGAGAGCAGAGGUAAUCAUGGAUGGAAACUCAUUGCAUCCUGGCUACUCUACUUCCAUCCUCUAGAUUCUUGUCUCUCAUUCUACCAGGAAUGCAACCUUAUUCUCUGCUCAGGCUAUGAUCUCUGCCCCAUGAGUGGGUGUUUGAGACCACUUAUGAAAUAGGAGAGAAAGAGGAGGUGCUAUCUGGGCUUUGCCUUGAGAGAAUGAGCAGAAUAUGCUUUUGGGUAGACCCACAGUAGAAUUUUGUAUAAGAGACUUAGUAAACUAGGGAAGGGAAAACAGUUGUAGGCCUUGAAUGUGAUUUCUAGCUCAGGGCAAGAACUAAAAGGUCACAAAGCAUACAACCCCGGAAGACUGUUGAUAGUAGGGCUCAGGUAGGUCAAGGCCAGAAAAACAGGUACAAAAGACUAUCUCUGGCGAGAUUUACACAUUUGAAAAGCACUAGUAUGAGCUGAGAUGCUUCUAAGUGACAUUUCUUGUCUUUUAUUUGUUUAAAAACACAGGGCCACUAAUUAUCAGAAUGGGCACUGAGAAAUUUUCUAAGGCCGACACCCAGGAUCAUCAUCCCAUUGCAGCGAAAUCCCCAAGAGUGAGACAAAAUAAACUCCCAAGUAUCUCAACUUCCAGCCAAGGCCUUUAUAUCUGAUAAAUCAGACCAACAUCCGGGAAUAUAAGAUAUAUGCCUAAGGUCACACCCGGUGUUCAGUGUAGAGUGCUACCCUCUUCUGGACAAUGGACAUGCUCACAUGGAAGUUAUUUCCAUCGAGCAUUUCAAAGUCUUACCUCAUUUUAAUGGUGUAGGAAUUAAAUAGUUAUGAGAUCAGACACUGGAUAGGGUCUGAGCUACAGGUAGGAUGGCUUGUGGUAAACUAAAUAAAUGGUCAAAGGUGUGGAAGGACAGCAUCAAAGACUUUAGGACAGUUCAGAGGUCUGUUAUUUCUGUAGAAGGUAUUGGUGGAUGUACAAUGAUAUGUACAGUGCCAUGUUCAUCAGCUCUUGACCGUAACUAAACUCCUUACUUUCUCUUGGUAAAUCUGUUUCCUUCUCUGUAUGAGGUUGUAAUAAGCCCCAGAGGGCAGAUUUGGAGAUCGGAAGAGAUGUUAUUCACAAUGUGCUUGACAUAUGUGGCCCUCACUAACCCUAGUCACUACUAUAUAAUCACCUAGAACCCUGCCUAGACUUGGCCUCUGACAUUUUUGUGACCUUUAACCAUUAACUUUCCUUCUUUGAGUAUCACACUCCAGUUUUCCAAAUGAGGAUGUCAGUACAGAUCCCCAACUCUCAUAAAUCUUGGAAAUCAUAGCUUUGUUCUAUGGUGGGGUUGAUUGUAGAGGUAAAUCAAUCUCAGUUGUAGAGGACAAAAUGAGAGAUGGGACAAGGUAUGUGUGUGUGUGUGUGUGUGUGUGUGUGUGUGUGUGUGUGUGCGCGCGCGCGCAGGGGAGUGGACCUAGUUGCUUUUUCCAGCUUUGCUCACCCUGAUUUCAGUUGACCACUUUGGGAAUCCCCAAGCUAAAGUUAGUCUUGUGUUGACUGAAACAAAAACUCAAGGUUGUAAAAAGAGAAAAAUAAGCAGAAGUGAAACCAAGCUGAUGGCAAGCAAAGCAGGACAAACAGAGCCAGGUGUGGCCCUUGAGACAAAAGAGGCCAUUUCAUGACUGUAGUUGUAUGACUGUGUCUCACGUAGGUAGGAAUAUCAAGUCUACAUUACAUCUCUUCCCAGCUCCAAGUAGGAGUCCCUAAGCUUGAUGCUGUCCUACAUCUGGCUACAUCCUCACAUUCCAAGAUCAGUCUUUAAUAUUAGAAUCCUGGAAGUCCACGGAGCCACUUGUGGUUUUGUAUGUUAGUAGGGUACUAGAGAGGAAUUGACUGGAUCAGAACUAUGGGGCUCCAUCUCAAUUUCCUAACCUGGAGAGAAAUGGAUAACUGAAUUGGGACUUCCUCCUCGUGACCCAGAAAUUCUGCUCUCAGGACUUCAUCACAGAGAUAUCACUUGGCCUAUGUGACAUGGAGACUCAAAGGAA